rnacentral:lncRNA from 1 species
GUCCAAACCCGGCCCAAAUGAAUUUGGGCCAGCCCGCCCACUCCCGCUGCCCCUCCGCCUCGUCCUCCUUUGUUGCGCAGCCGAGACCGCCUUUAACACCUGGCGAAAACGAAGGAGAGAGAACGAUGCCACCCGAUCGUUAUUAUGGUCCAUGCAUACCCCAUUCAAGGAUGCAGAGGACGGGGCCAGCGUAUCAGUAUGAGAACUCUCUAGACAAAACGAUGCUG